CCAGGGGAUUCAUGAGUAAAACAAGGUGAUGUUCAACAAAGUGAUGAUAAUCCCAUACCAAGUAGGCCCAAAAUGUGACAAAGCAAUAUCAAACAAUCACUCAACAUUCCAGUUCCAAUGAAAAUGAUAUUCAAAUUAAAAUGAAAAAAUAAUGCGCCAACUGAAAUUGAAACAUUCAAACACUCAUAUCAAGAAACCACCAACAACCACAACACUAGAGGUUGCCUCCGACAACGGUGGUGCACCAAGGAUCAAAUAAAGACCACCAUCUUAUGCACAAUGACUCACUGGUGAAAAAUAUGGGGAUGAUUUCACGAAAAUCUCACUCAAAAGCUCAAAUCGAAGGCAACGACAUCAAGAACCCUAGAAGUUCUAGGUUAGAUUAAAUGAAAACUAUGAGGAAUCAAGGCCUAGGAUGUUAGGGCUUUGAUUCCUCUUGAAAACCCCUACAUCUCGAUAACCAGGAAAUGAAGAAAUAAUGGAGGUUUGGGAUUACCUCGCCGGAAAAGACGCUCAGAAAAAUGUCUCAAGUUUGUGCUCAACUUGGUGCAGGGUCAUGAUGCAAGGCCUACUAAGUUGGUUUGCAAUGUUGUCUACUGUUUGCCUUGCCUUGCUACAGGAUGACAUGCACAUGGUGACUUGUAAAUGAAGAAACCAUGCUAGAAAAAAGCAAACAUGGAUUUGGAUGGUGAAUCAAGGAAAAUUGGAUUAGGUUAGGUCUUAGGGUGGUAAAGGGGGGUCAAUUGAGUUUGCUCAACGGGUUGACCAAAAAGUCAACUGUUGACCAAAAGUCAAUUGUUAUAAAAAAUAGUCAAACUUGUAAUUUUUUUGUAUGUAUGGACUUUGAAUAAUCAAUGUAUAAAUGAAAUUUGAUAUUUGGUAUUUGUUUAUGAAUGAAUGGAUUUGAAUGAUAUUGUAUGGAAAUGACUUGAA